AGUGAACGCUGGCGGCAGGCCUAACACAUGCAAGUCGAACGGCAGCACAGGAGAGCUUGCUCUCUGGGUGGCGAGUGGCGGACGGGUGAGGAAAACGUCGGAAUCUGCCUAUUUGUGGGGGAUAACGUAGGGAAACUUACGCUAAUACCGCAUACGACCUACGGGUGAAAGCGGAGGACCUUCGGGCUUCGCGCAGAUAGAUGAGCCGACGUCGGAUUAGCUAGUUGGCGGGGUAAAGGCCCACCAAGGCGACGAUCCGUAGCUGGUCUGAGAGGAUGAUCAGCCACACUGGAACUGAGACACGGUCCAGACUCCUACGGGAGGCAGCAGUGGGGAAUAUUGGACAAUGGGCGCAAGCCUGAUCCAGCCAUGCCGCGUGGGUGAAGAAGGCCUUCGGGCUGUAAAGCCCUUUUGUUGGGAAAGAAAAGCAGCCGGUUAAUACCCGGUUGUCAUGACGGUACCCAAAGAAUAAGCACCGGCUAACUUCGUGCCAGCCGCCGCAGUAA
rnacentral:rRNA from 1 species